rnacentral:tRNA from 6 species
GGAGAAGUACCCAAGAGGCUGAAGGGGUCGCACUCGAAAUGCGAUAGGUCGUGAAAGCGGCGCGGGAGUUCAAAUCUCCUCUUCUCCU